rnacentral:rRNA from 1 species
CCUACGGGAGGCAGCAGUGGGGAAUAUUGCACAAUGGGGGGAACCCUGAUGCAGCGACGCCGCGUGAGUGAAGAAGUAUUUCGGUAUGUAAAGCUCUAUCAGCAGGGAAGAAAAUGACGGUACCUGACUAAUAAGCACCGGCUAACUCCGUGCCAGCAGCCGCGGUAAUACGGAGGGGGCAAGCGUUAUCCGGAUUUACUGGGCGUAAGGGGAGCGCAGACGGGUGAGCAAGUCUGGUGUGAAAGGCGGGGGCCCAACCCCAGGACUGCUCUGGAAACUGUAAAGCUGGAGUGCAGGAGAGGUAGGCGGAAUUCCUAGUGUAGCGGUGAAAUGCGUAGAGAUUAGGAGGAACACCAGUGGCGAAGGCGACUUACUGGACUGCAACUGACGUUGAGGCUCGAAAGCGUGGGGAGCAAACAGGAUUAGAUACCCGAGUAGUC